ensembl:lincRNA
AUGGUUGAACAACUCCUGGGGGAAGCAGUACUCCUAUGUGCUCUUCAAGGCCAUGAGCCACAUGCUCCACAUCUGCUGAGGGUGGCAGGUGCCGGUGGGCAUGUCCGAUGUCUGCUUCACCAUGCUCAGCAUGAUCGUGGGUGCCACCUGCUAUGCCAUGUUCAUCGGCCAUGCCACUGCCCUCAUCCAGUCCCUGGACUCCUCCCGGCGCAGUACCAGGAAAAGAGAAGAAAACAGAGAAUUGGGGCCCGCGACUCUGUCCCAAAUCUCACGGCUGGAAGGAAUGGAGCCGUCUUGAUGGUGCCCAGCACCCACACAGCUCCCGGAGGAGUGGCUGGCUCCCGCAGCUGGAGAGCCACCUGCAAGCUCUCUGCUGAAAAGCCUCUUUGGGCCUCCUUUCUCUCACAGAAGGAAGUCCCACCUUCUCAGCCUGGCAUCAGGGGCCGCUUCAGACCGACUCUUCUGAAAGUAUCAACCAUGCCAAACUUUGCUUCAAAUCCCAGUUUCCUGCACUGGGAAUGGAACUCAUGCCCCAGGCUGCAUGUAGCCUUUGCAUUUUCCUGGCUCACUCAUGCUGGUCUUUCUUCUGCCUGGAACACUCCAAGCCCAUUCCUGCCACAGGACCUUUGCUCUGCUGCUCCCUCGCCCUAGACAGCUGUCAGCACAUCUGGCUUCUCCUUGUUAGCUACCUCGGCAGACAGGCUUCCCCAGCACCCAACUACAUUUGCAUGAUGUCCCCACUGAACCAGCCCCAGUCACUCUCAUUCCCAUUACCCUGCUUUAUAUUCUUCAUAGCCUGCAUCCAGGAUGGGUCAUCUUCUGUCUGCCCAGGCUCAGUAAGUAGCUGCUGAAAGAACAAAUGAACGUGUGCUCAGUGCCAGCUGGCUCCAGCCACGUGGAUACCUCUGCUGGCCUGUCUGGAGAAGCUCAGGCUGGCUGGCCAUGGCCUCUGCCCUGGGAGAGUGUCCACAUGGGGCCAGGGGCCAGGCUUGUUGGCAGGAAGUCCCAGUGAAGCCCAAGAGCUAAGAAAGCUGCCACCUCCCCCCGCCCCCACUUGCUGAGUAGAUGCCAUUUGUCCAUCCCUGAUGCAGUGUUGACCAGGGUCUUUGCCCCUCCUGGAAAGAACCAGCCUGGGCCCUCCAUGCACAGAUGAGUCCCACCCCUGGCCUAUGGACUCCUUUGAAAUAGGUGGGCGUGGGCCUCCUAGUACAGGGUGGGAGCAAGGCCUGGUUUCUCACCCUGCUCCUGUGCAUCCCUGGCCAUAAGUCUUGCCCUCUCUGGCCUCCAUUUGCUGCCCUGUAAAGUGAGGCAUGAAGUCCCAGUGUUCUUCCAGUUCUCCAGGCACGUGCCUCACUUGCCAACUGGAUUCAAGCUGCCCAGAGGCUACAACCUGGACAAAGCCGGCCCAUAGCAGCUGAAAAAGGACAGCAGCUGCUCAUUAAAAUGGAGCUGCAAAUGGGGUGGUGGCUUAUACCUGUAAUCCCAGCACUUUGGGAGGCCGAGGUGGGCAGAUCGUGAGGUCAGGAGUUCAAGACCAGACUGGCCAAUACGGUGAGACCCUGUCUCUUCUAAUAAAUACAAAAAUUAGCUGAGCAUGGUGGCUUGUGCCUGUAAUCCCAGCUACUUGGGAGGCUGAGGUAGGAGAAUUACUUGAAGUGGGAAUUGGGAGGCGG